rnacentral:rRNA from 1 species
CGCAUCUGUGCAUGCAGCAUAUCAAUAAGCGGAGGAAAAGAAACUAACAAGGAUUCCCCUAGUAACGGCGAGUGAAGCGGGAAGAGCUCAAAUUUGAAAUCUUAAAGGGUUUCCCUUACGAAUUGUAGUUUAAAGAAGUGUUUUCUGUUGAAGGUUUUGGUAAAAGUUCUUUGGAAUAGGACAUCAUAGAGGGUGAGAAUCCCGUAUUUGACCUUUACUUUCAACUUUGUGAUACACUUUCAAAGAGUCGGAUUGUUUGGGAAUGCAGUCCAAAAUGGGUGGUAAAUUUCAUCUAAAGCUAAAUAUUGGCGAGAGACCGAUAGCGAACAAGUACCGUGAGGGAAAGAUGAAAAGAACUUUGAAAAGAGAGUUAAACAGUACGUGAAAUUGUCAAAAGGGAAGCGUUUGACACCAGUGUUGUUUUUCUGAAAAUCAAUUAAAGAACUGUUUAUGCUAAGCUGUUUAGACUUUAUCAGCUAUCUGUUUAGUUUUGAGCUUUUCUUUAAUGCACUUUUCAGUUAACAAGUCAACAUCAAUUUCUUUUGCUGUAAAAAAGCUUGAGGAAGGUGGCUUGAGAUUCGUCUUAAGUGUUUAUAGCCUCUUGCCUAUGCAGUCGGAGAGAUUGAGGUCUGCAGCGUAGAUCCUUCGGGGCUAAAUGCAUUUGUGCUAAGUUAUAGCAUUUUAUAGACAACUUGUUGACUAUGAUUUGUCUUGUAGCUUACUCGCUUAUGUUAUUUUACCUACGCUUAGGAUGUUGAGUCGUAGAGCACGCAG